rnacentral:rRNA from 1 species
UACAGAGGGUGCAAGCGUUGUUCGGAAUUACUGGGCGUAAAGGGCGCGUAGGCGGUCUUGCAAGUCCUGUGUGAAAUCCCUCGGCUCAACUGAGGAACUGCACAGGAAACUGCUUGGCUUGAGUUCGGGAGAGGGAAGCGGAAUUCCGGGUGUAGCGGUGAAAUGCGUAGAUAUCCGGAGGAACACCGGUGGAGAAGGCGGCUUCCUGGACCGACACUGACGCUGAGGCGCGAAAGCUAGGGGAGCAAACGGG